rnacentral:lncRNA from 1 species
UUGGUUUUUAUGACGAAGUUGCUGGGGUGUCUGCGUGAGUGCUUGAGCUAAAUAAAUAGAAUUUGAAAGAGUUCUUAUCACGGCCCAUUGCCCUUUCACUGAGUUUGUUCGGGUGGGGACAGAGAAAGAGUAAGAAGUGCAGGUGGGGUCAAAUCUGGGGGAAGAUCGCUGAUAAAGGGCCGCCACUGAGGGCUGCUGCGGAGAAGGCUAUGGCCCCCAGUUUGAGCACAUGCUUUUGAUUGGGGGUUUUUAAUAACAGUGAUCCGAUUUGGGAUAAUGGCUAUGUAGACCCUUUCUCCUGAGCCCCAAACCAAGGCUGUUUACUCAAGGCCCAGCGGCCCCACGGCUCCUUCCUCGCGCACCCUGAGCCCAGCAUGGGGAACGCUGCCCAGAGUGAAACAGAGUGGAGUGGAGAGCCAGCCCCUUCCCACCCUGGCGGAUGGCCACAGCCUCGUCUCUGGGUGUCCGCGCUCUGGGAAUUGUGGCGGUGGGUGGGGGGGAGCUUUACCCUCUCUCCACUUAUAAUUAGGGGGUCACGGGAUCCUGCCAUUUGUAAAGCUUCAGGGUGAUCAGAGCCAUGUGGCCCCAAGUCCUGCCUGCUGACCUUCUCUUUCUCUUCUCUGCUUGGAAGAGCAUCUGCCCCAGUGAUACAGAGACAUAGAACACACAAUCCCCCCCGGAGAGAGAGGAGGUUGCUCUGAGCUCCAUCCUGUCCACGCCUAGGAGGUGAGAGGGGCUCCCUGGGGAAGGGGAGUGUGGAAGGGAACAGGAAAACUUGAGAACUGAAGAGUCCUUAUAUUUGCAGAUCAGGAAACUCAAAGGUAAGUGACUUGGCCAAGGUCCCACAGUGAUUUCUGGUCCAACUGGGAUUGGAAUGCAGCUGUCUUGGUUACACAUCUUGCUCUCUUUCACCUCUUCCAGAAACCAGCCUCAUGGCACAUUUGGCAUAUUUGGGAAGGUCUUUGGGGGCUGCACACCCUCAGCCUCUUUCGCAGUUGGCUGCAGCACCUGCUGGAGAGGAACCUCUCUGUUCCAGAAGGAAGUCGUGGCGCCCCACGCAAAGGCAGCAGCAGGUGGAAGAAGUGGAGGAAGGAAUGUCCUCGGCAGCCUCCCUCCUCCACAGGACAGAUGCCUCAUUGCCUUAUUCCCUUUGCCACCUGGGACUGACCUGGGGUCUUUGCCUGGAGCUGAGCAGUGUGGAGAAGGUUGGGGGUCAGCGGGUGACACACGCUGGUUUAAUGGGCACAAAGUUCCCAGUUGAAGGUUUGGGUCCCAGCGCCUCCCCCCCCCCCAACCUGAACCCACUGACCCCUGAGUGGGUGGGGAGAAGCUAA